AGCUCAGUGAUUUCAGACCAAUACUUUGGUUAUAUACGCUUAUUCUGAAUAUGUUGAUGUAAAGUAAAUUUGUGAGAGCU
rfam:Hordeum vulgare subsp. vulgare, WGS project CAJW01000000 data, contig: morex_contig_39253